UUUAUGAAAAAUCCCAAGAUAGGUUUAUAAAAUAUUAACAAUAUUUUGAAAGCAAACAUACUUGAUUAUUUAUUCAUAAUUAUUUUGGGUGUGUGUUUUUUGAUUUAAGAAAAUAAAAUGCAUUUGAAAAUUUUAAAAAACCAGCAUUUCACAAAAAUAUUAUCUCCCUUUGUAGAACUCUCUAGUUCCGACAGUGAAAGAAGAUAAAAACAAAAGUAUUUGUAAGCAUGACGUUUUGCCGGUUUUGAGUUCCUUUUCACAAACCAUGUGUUUUACUGAUAUUUUUAAACAAAACUGCUAAGAUUAUACAGUAUAGCUUCCUUGGCAGAUGUAAUAUUCUUCAUUCUGAAGACAUUCAACAACUCGUGAAUUUCAGCAAUGGCCAUGUAAUGUCUAAAGUAGGUCGUAUGUCAUGUGUUACACUUGCUAAAUACAGUGAAUGACUAUCGAAUGUGGACGUUAUUUUAAGUUUUCUUCAAAAUGAAAUACAAAGAGGUCCAGAAGCAAGUUAAGUCAGAUUCCAAACGUUCUAAGUUCCCACCUACAUAUUGAAAAGACCAGAGGAGAUAGACCAAGAAUUCCCCUCCAAACAGAACAUGUGAAAAUGUGGAAGCAGGUCAUUUGAUUGGUCAAGCUGGUGCAACGCUACCAGUGUUAUACACCAUGCAUGUACCCAAUGCUGCUGUGUGACCAUGUGAGGGACAUCACAAGGAAGGGGAAGAUAUUUAAAUCAUUCAUAGAGCCUUCAACAUCUUAUUAAAACCAAAUUAUAAAGAGAACUCAAGAAGCCAGAGUUUUACAUUUUUGUCAUGACAAGUCAUGACAUUCAGCAAAUGAAUCUUUAUCCGAUGAGAAUUAGUGAGAGUUUUCAGAGAAUAGGAGAUACUGGUGGGACACCUUCACUAAGUCUGCUAAAUUAUACUACGUACAACAAUAUAAUGACAAAACUGACUGCUGCAAUUCUCUCAAAGAACAUCAAAGAAAGAGUGAAGAGUCUUACAGUAUCUGAAGAAAAUCCAAGUCUUGCCUAAAAUUAUACCUGAGGGAAUGCAUAAUUACAUGGGUGCACUAUGCACUACUUUGCAUAUGUUUCAAAUAAUUUUUAAAGAAUAUUAUAAUAAUUAAUGUACAUUCUUAAAUAAAAGGUAAAAAGUGUAUAAACAGAAGUCUCAUUGCAUG